UUAGAAAUGUCACCCAUUGCAAGAGCCUUUUGAAUUAAUAUCUACGCAAAAGGUGGUGGAGUGAAGGGUGAACAGAUUGGAGAGAUCACAGCCCAGUAAAUUCUAAAAACCUGUUCUCCCUUUGUUUUAAUGGAAAUUUCAAAGACUGGAUAGCAGAUCAACUGUGAGAUAAAUGUGAGGUGUGAGCUAGCUCAGUCUCCCCCCCACCCCAUCCGUGCUUUUCUGCACAUCUUCUGUACGUUAUUCAGGUACCAUUGCAGAGAAGCCUCUUAUCAAAUUUAUGCUUACAGUUGAAAAUGACACACCUGCCCAGUAUCUAUGGUAACAAAGGUUCUCUUCAGUCUCAGCUUUCUUAUUCCUCUUUCAUUAAAAAAAAAUCUCCAGAAAUAGUAGCAUUUAAUAGCAGUUUUAAAUCUGUUUUCAUUUUUUUAAAAAAGUAUUGCCAUUUCUUAGUAUCACUUCAAAAAGGAUGGGAUAAUCUUUUCACUUAGAAGCAUUUCAGUGCUGCUUAAAGAAGUUUGCAUUUAUCAUCUAGAUUGUUACAAAACAGAAAUGUGCUCAGACAUGCUCACCAAUGCAAAACCUAGAGAAUAAACCAAAAUCUUUAUAGGCCACCAUCAUUAAAAAAUCCAUUAGAAAUUGAACUUUUCUGCAUAGUAGAAGCAACUUGAGUUGCUGCGAAAUUUUGCCAACAGCAAAUUUGCAAGGUGAAAUUGGAGAUUUCUGCUUAGGCAAGGAAUUUCAAGGAAUGUAAAGGGUUGUUUUUAAAUACAGUGUAAACUUUUAUGGGGAAAUCUGAUAAACCUUGGUAGGUGCAAGCUAUCAUUGCAAUACUAGCUUCUGGGGAACAGUGCAGUUACAUUUAUGUUCCGCUCAUGGUUUUCCAAAGGGCAUCUGGUAGACCACAGUGGGAAAAGAAUGCUGGACUAGAUGGGGCUUUGGUUUUGUCCAGCUGGGCUCUUCUUAUGUGUCUCUCUCUUGCGAGUCAGGAAGUAAUCCUAAAAACAGUUCCGUGGCAAAAACUGUAAUUGUGUUGUUAUUGUUCUUUUUUUGCAAUACACUCUUUCAAGGAUUUUUGUUAUAAAGCUUAAUAUUCUUUAGUUCUGUAGUGAUUUUUUUACCAGAAACAAAAGCUUUUAAAUGGUUUGAUGUGUGUUCCAAAAGGGAAGCAGAUAUAAAAUAUUAGGGCAAAACAGAAACCUAAAGCAUAACCAUAUGAUGAUGGAGAGUGCUUCUGUCUUUGCUCCAUUUCCAUUAAAUAACUGCAAUUCUUGUUCUUCAGUAAACCCAUUUCUUGGCACAGUCCUUGAGCGCAGAGUUAGAGCCAGGGGAAAUAAUGUCAUAUACUGAUUCCUCCUGAUGAUAGAAGAGUCCUUGUAACUUUGCCUAGAAUCUUUUUUUAAGGGGGGAUGUAAAUGGUCAGUUAUCAAUUCGCUGUUGAUCACAGGUUCAUUUUCCUUUGCUUUUGCCGAAGAGCACCCGGCCCCGCCCCCUCUUCCCUGCCUGGAUUUUCUCCUGAUAUGUGUAAUGGAAGACAGAGUUUUUCACAGCGCUGAUUUGACCUUCUUUCACCAUGGGAAGAGAGGAGGAGACUGGGCAGCACAGACAGAAGGCACACCACCAAAUUGAUACUCUGGAGGAGCUAAGCAAAGGAUCUGGCUGUUAGGAUGGGCUAAGUGGAAUGGACAUUUGUUUCUAAAGAAAGAAUGUCAAAAGAUAAUUCCUUAUUUUUGCUAAAGGGAAGCACAACUUUUGGCUGAAAUGAUAAGCAUAUUACAGAUGUUUACUUUCUCUUUUUUGUUUUCAUGGUCAAAAAUAAAGGUCUCUCCUGUUGAUAUUCUU